rnacentral:rRNA from 1 species
GAAGAAGGCCCUCGGGUUGUAAAGCACUUUUGUUCGGGAAGAAAUCGUGCGGAUUAAUACUUCGUACGGAUGACGGUACCGAAAGAAUAAGCACCGGCUAACUUCGUGCCAGCAGCCGCGGUAAUACGAAGGGUGCAAGCGUUACUCGGAAUCACUGGGCGUAAAGCGUGCGUAGGCGGUUCGUUAAGUCUGCUGUGAAAGCCCUGGGCUCAACCUGGGAACUGCAGUGGAUACUGGCGGGCUAGAGUGUGAUAGAGGAUGGUGGAAUUCCCGGUGUAGCGGUGAAAUGCGUAGAGAUCGGGAGGAACACCAGUGGCGAAGGCGGCCAUCUGGAUCAACACUGACGCUGAGGCACGAAAGCGUGGGGAGCAAACAGGAUUAGAUACCCUGGUAGUCCACGCCCUAAACGAUGCGAACUGGACGUUGGUUGCAACUUGGCAAUCAGUGUCGAAGCUAACGCGUUAAGUUCGCCGCCUGGGGAGUACGGUCGCAAGACUG